rnacentral:sRNA from 18 species
UAUCGGCAAUAUUUUUCGCCGAAGUCCGGAAAGGCUCGUCCCCCGCCGAACCGGACAUAAAAGCGGCAGCCUUAUCCCCCUCUCCGGGCUGCCGCACAUAAUAUAAGGCCGCCGUGGUUCCCCUCCACCACGGCGGCACUUU